rnacentral:rRNA from 1 species
UACGUAGGGGGCAAGCGUUGUCCGGAUUUACUGGGCGUAAAGAGCGUGUAGGCGGCCAAGCAGGUCCGUUGUGAAAACUGGAGGCUUAACCUCCAGACGUCGACGGAAACCGCGUGGCUAGAGUCCGGAAGAGGAGAGUGGAAUUCCUGGUGUAGCGGUGAAAUGCGCAGAUAUCAGGAAGAACACCAAUGGCGAAGGCAGCUCUCUAGUACGGUACUGACGCUGAGACGCGAAAGCGUGGGGAGCGAACAGG